rnacentral:rRNA from 1 species
UGGCUCAGGACGAACGCUGGCGGCGUGCCUAAUACAUGCAAGUCGAACGAACCGCGACUGAGUGCUUGCACUUGGUCAAGGUGAGUGGCGAACGGGUGAGUAACACGUGGGUAACCUACCUCAUAGUGGGGGAUAACAGUCGGAAACGACUGCUAAUACCGCAUAGGACAUAGGAUCACAUGAUCCAGUGAGGAAAGGUGGCGCAAGCUAUCGCUAAGAGAUGGACCCGCGGUGCAUUAGCUAGUUGGUAGGGUAAAGGCCUACCAAGGCGAUGAUGCAUAGCCGACCUGAGAGGGUGAUCGGCCACAUUGGGACUGAGACACGGCCCAAACUCCUACGGGAGGCGGCAGUAGGGAAUCUUCCGCAAUGGACGCAAGUCUGACGGAGCAACGCCGCGUGAGUGAAGAAGGUCUUCGGAUCGUAAAGCUCUGUUGUUAGAGAAGAACAGCGCAUAGAGUAACUGUUAUGCGUGUGACGGUAUCUAACCAGAAAGCCACGGCUAACUACGUGCCAGCAGCCGCGGUAAUACGUAGGUGGCGAGCGUUGUCCGGAUUUAUUGGGCGUAAAGGGAGUGUAGGCGGUCUUUUAAGUCUGAUGUGAAAGCCCACGGCUCAACCGUGGAGGGUCAUUGGAAACUGGGAGACUUGAGUGCAGAAGAGGAGAGCGGAAUUCCAUGUGUAGCGGUGAAAUGCGUAGAUAUAUGGAGGAACACCAGUGGCGAAGCGGCUCUCUGGUCUGUAACUGACGCUGAGGCUCGAAAGCGGUGGGGAGCAAACAGGGUUAGAUACCCU